rnacentral:rRNA from 1 species
AGCAGCCGCGGCAAUUCCAGCUCCAAUAGCGUAUAUUAAAGUUGUUGCAGUUAAAAAGCUCGUAGUUGAAUUUCGGGAUCAGUACGUUGGUCGUGCCCUUGGUACGUACUGGCGUUACUGGUUCCUACCUUCUGACGAACCGUCAUGUCAUUAAUUUGGUGUGGCGGGGAAUCAGGACUGUUACUUUGAAAAAAUUAGAGUGUUUAAAGCAGGCUCGCGCUUGAAUACAUUAGCAUGGAAUAAUGAAAUAGGACGUUCGAUCCUAUUUUGUUGGUUUCUAGGAUUGACGUAAUGAUUAAUAGGGAUAGUUGGGGGCAUUAGUAUUCAAUUGUCAGAGGUGAAAUUCUUGGAUUUAUUGAAGACUAACUACUGCGAAAGCAUUUGCCAAGGAUGUUUUCAUUAAUCAAGAACGAAAGUUAGGGGAUCGAAGACGAUCAGAUACCGUCGUAGUCUUAACCAUAAACUAUGCCGACUAGAGAUCGGAUGAUGUUAUUUUUAAUGACUCAUUCGGCGCCUUAAC